GAUGAUAAGUAACCUGGCCACAAUUCCAAUCCGCAUUGCGGCAGUACGAUCUGUAUCAACAUGGCGGACCAAUUUAUUUCGAUCAAAAUAAUUGCGACCGACCAACUUCAGCUUCAGAUGCUCGUAACAUUUUCUCAUGAUUAUGUUAAAAAAUUGGAUGUACUGGGCAUCGCCUACUAGUAUAUCGCUGACAAGACGUACGAAAAUACGCUUGAGGAGAUAUCGUAAACGACAUUCAAGAGAUACAUGUUGCAACGUGCAAAGCUGUAUAUCUGCUACCUAC